UGCAGCGUGGUCUAGUGGAGAGAACCCCGGCCUGGGAGUCCGAAGGACCCGGGUUCUAACCCCGGCUCUGCCA
rnacentral:tRNA from 1 species